AAAUGUUGGUCAAACAUUUUUAAAAAAAGCGACGAACAUAGAGACGUUGUCCGUUGCUUUCUUUAAAAUAUUUGCUAGUGCAGACGGGAUUUUCCCCAUUUCUCCAUCUCUCUUCUUUCUCUCUUCUCUCCGUCCCUCUUCCUCUCUCUCGACGAAGUGACGCCGUCGCCCCUGCCCACCGCCGAUCCCCACCCUGACCCACUGCCCUUCUCCUUUAAUUAAAGGCAACUGAGGAAGCUCAACAUCUAAAAUAGUUGAUACAAGACUAUAUUGCUUCUUUAAUCAAAGUAGGAGAUAAGG